rnacentral:lncRNA from 1 species
GCUUCCCCUUUGUUUUCAGAACAGAGCUCGUGUGUGUGUGUGUGUGUGUGUGUGUGUGUGUGUGUGUGUGUGUGUGCGCAUGCUCUCGUGUGCUGUGCACCUGUGUGUACUGUUCUGUCAUCACUGUCCCCUCCUCCUCAGUUUGCAUUUGCUUAAUAUCAGUUCCUACUUCUUUCAAAAUGUUUCCGAGGUCUUGAACUCUUGUGUGAGCAUCUUUCUCAACUCUCCCCAGGUGCAUGUUCUCCAUCACAGAUCCCCUGUGAUCUGCUGUCUACCCUCUACGAGUGUGUUUCCCAGAAGUGCUGGAGUAAAAGCUGCCUGGAUAAGCAAUCUGUGGGCAGGCCCUCGAAUGACAAUACACUUUGGUUGACUCUAAAUCUGAAUUGCCAGUGGUCCAUAUGUAAGCCAAGGCUGUGAGCACCUGCAUUUUGGCCAUAGGGUAACAAGUUUUCCUUGAGGAUCUUCAUACCGAAAUGGGAUCUGAAAGAACCCUCGUAGCCCCGUGGGGUGUGGAGUGCCAUUUGCAGCUGGCAGAGGACGUUCCAUUCCAUCGAAAGAAAAGGAAGGAAGGAAAGAAGUCAGUUACUCUAAAGUUAACAGUUCAGCACAUGUGGAUUCAUAGCAAAUCUAUUUGAUAAACAGUUGAAACUCAAAAAUAACCUUAGUUAUUUUGUUUUUGAGGCUCUGAGUAUACUUUUUAUUCUUAGCUGUGUUCUUUUUUUCCUUCACUUUUUAGUGGCAAGCAUGACAUAGGAAGCCUUUUUUUUUUUUUUAAUUGAAGAAUCGAUUGGUCUUACCUAAUCUCAAUAGCAGAAUAUGUAAAUAUAUUAAAAUGUUUUCGAGAUGAUUAAGGGUCAAAGGAAGGAACAAGUGCUUCUCAUACUUGAGCAGAGAAGAAAGCAUGCUCUUACAGUGGAGAAUAGAUGACGCGUGGCUAAUGGGGGGUGCGGGCCUAACUGCAGAGAGCCAAGGCAUGCCACCACCAGGUCCUGCAACUGGCUUUUUAGAUUACACCCUCGUGUUUUCAGAGUUGGUGAAGGACCAGCUUUGUGUAUAGUAAACUUGUUUUCAAGCCUUGCAUCAGUACAGAAGGACCGAUACUAAUCCAGGGAGAAGUCAAGAUGGCUGUGUCUUCAGUUAUAUGAUAAAGCAAGUGGUUCAUAUGACAGUGUGGCAUCUAAAAAUAAUAUGUUUUAUAGUGUCUCUCUGCUACUAAAAUGUCAACUUGAAUUUUUGAAAAAAGUUGGUGUUGAUAUGUAUAUGUGUGUGUGUGUAUAUAUGUAUUUAUAAAUAAGUGUGUGUGAGUAACAUCGUUGUCUUCCCCUACGCAUGUGUGUUCCACACAAACAGCUGUGUUAGAGUCACAAAACAAUUCGCAAUAAAACAAGACAUUUGUUGUCAGUUCAAACCAGAAAUAGUUACGUUUUUAAAUUCAUCUGGUGUUGUGAGUACAUGUUCUCCCAGUUCUCAUUACUGUAUUAAUUUAGACUCGUUUCAGAUACCAUAAUUUGUUGCAUUGGGAUUAGAAUGGGAAUCACUAAAAUUUUGAGGGGUUUCUGUUAAUAUAGCAAUAGGAAACAUUUUAUUAUUUUAACUGAGAUAGAAUGAAUAGUGUUCUUUGUCCUUGGUUUUGUUUGGUUGUUUUGGUUUGGUUUGCUUUUGGUUCUGUUAGUGGUUUUCGGAUAUUGAUCCAUAGUUUUUUGUGUCUGAUGCUAAAUUACAAACUUAGAACCAUCCAGUGUAAACCAGCUCUCUGCAUUCUUCAUGCCAGUUAUAGAGGGGUCACUCUCCUUCUGUGUCCUGCCUUGUACCAGCCUAAGGGGAAAGUGGGUAAUUGGAGAACUAGAUGUCCUGUGGCUCUGGUCAUGUCCCCACAGGAGAACAUGGUGGUCUAUGUAUUUUGUUCCUUCCACUUACUGAGGAGUUCAUUUCUUCAGUAUUGACUUUCUAAAAUGUUGCAUGUGGUCAAGGUGAGUCAGAGACUUUCCCAACCCUUAAUAACUAUUAGAGUCAUGUACUACUUUAUCUCCUACAUUUAAAAGAAAAAGUGCAUGGUCGCUUUGUCCCUUUUUGUUGUUGUUUUUCCUUAGCCUGCCCUCACUCCCUAGCCUUGCCAAUCUUGAUAGGCUGCAGACAAACUCUGCACUCAGCAGCUUUCGUUCAGCAAGUUGCCAGGAGCCCCUUCCUUAGUCUUUCUUACUAGCAUGUACACGUGUGCUCUGUACAGUACCACAUGUUCUGUACAGUACCGUGUGUGUGCUCCUGUCUAUCUGUAUGUAAGCACACAUCAUCAAUAAAGUAGCCAUUCAACCAGGAGGGUGGAGGUGGCUUUUAAUUUACUCUGUGGGCAUUACUGGACAGGUUUUUUAAAAUAUGAAACUUAACCAUGCAUACUCUGUUGACCAAUUCAUUUUGAGUAUUAAAGUUGUUCCAUUGCUAAUUUAGAUGUUAUACAUCUAAAUUUAGAUGUACUGACUUAAUCACUCAGUUUUGAAAAAUGUGGGUUCUUUUGUUGGUGGUGGUGGUGGUGGCAUAUUUUUUGUUGCUUUUUGUUUUGUUCUUUUUUUCAGCCAAUUCUCCUUUGAGACAAGUCUGUGAAAAUGAAUAAAAAUAUACCCCAAUUGUAAAUGGAUAGAUGUAGAAAGAACCUAGUUUUUAAAGCAAUUUCAAUUUUAAAUACAUGAGACUUUCUGAAUCUUCAGGACUCUUAAAAGCACAUUUGAAUUUAUUUUGGUAAGAAUUUUGUUUUGUGACUGCACAUUGAAUUCUGUUUGUUUGUUUUUUUAAAUAAAUGCAAAGCAUAGAUUUCAAGGAGGGAGGGAGAGUAGCCGGUGGUCCCAGUGCGCUGCUGCUGUUUUAUUAACAAAGGGGAAGAUGUAUAUAAAUAGAUAAAGAUUACCAUAAAUUCCAUGAACUUAAAUCUGUGAUUCAUUGCCUUAAGACUUUCUCUCUUAGAAUUUCCAUACCGCAUGCCAAACCAGUAAAAUGGCUUUUAAAAGAUGUAUAGUAGACCAAUGUCAGUUUGUAUAAAAGUACCAAGUGAAAAUAUUUAUUACAUGCAUUGGAGAAAAGUUGUUUCCCUGUUGAAUGUUACCUGUUUCUGUAGAGCUCUUUAGAUGUAAUAAAAAAGAAGCCUUCAGUUAA